AGAGUUUGAUCAUGGCUCAGGAUAAACGCUGGCGGCGUGCCUAACACAUGCAAGUCGCACGUCCUUUUUUUCGCAAGAGAGAGAGGGAGUGGCGGACGGGUGAGUAACACAUGGGUACCUACCUCCGGGUGAGGGAUACCGGCGCGAAAGCGCCGACAAGCCCGCAUAGGCUCUUCUUUAUAAGAGGGGGAGAGCAAAGCUUUUCUCGUGAGAGGGAAGCGCCGGGAGAUGGGCCUGUGGCCGAUUAGCUGGCUGGUGGGGUAAUGGCUCACCAGGGCGAUGAUCGGUAGCUGGUCUGAGAGGACGAGCAGCCACACUGGGAUUGAGAACGGCCCAGACUCCUACGGGGGGCAGCAGUGAGGAAUUUUCCGCAAUGGGCGCAAGCCUGACGGAGCAACGCCGCGUGCAGGAAGACGGCCUUCGGGUUGUAAACUGCUUUUCUGUGGGACGAGAGAACAAGGACGGUACCGCAGGAAGAAGCCCCGGCUAACUACGUGCCAGCAGCCGCGGUAAUAC
rnacentral:rRNA from 1 species